UGACCCUAUCCAAGUCUAGUGGAGCCAACCGACAGACCCAUCAGUGAAAAAGCUCUGGCUAAGAGAAGUAUGUCCAGAGGGAUUCCACUGUACCUGUGAUGACGGACUAUGGACAGCUCAGAGAGGAGGAUGUAUAAACACUUGGACUGCCACUUCUGAAAGGUCAGUUAUCUAUGCUAGAAGGAUCACGAAGUCUUAGGCCAAUAAG
rnacentral:lncRNA from 1 species